GCCAGGAGCAAAUUUUCCAGGUGUGACCUGCUCAGUGGCCAUCGAGUUAAUGUUAUUAAUAAAACAGAAGUUGGUUAAACAGCUCCCUUAAUCCUAAAGGGGACGAAGUAAGCAUAAUCUGAUACCGUUUAAUUGGCGGAGUGUUGAAUGGACUAACGAGCGCAUUAUUGUCUCAAAUAGAGGUAAAAUGAAAUAAACAUUUUCGUGAAGAGGCGAAGAAAAAUAGAAGGACGAGAAGACCCCGUGAAGCUUUACUAUAGACUCGUUAAUUAUGAUUAGAAUUUUAAAAUUUAUUUGAAAAAUAAAAAAUAUUAAUAAAUUAUAACAUUUAAAUCUUAUAAUUAAAACAAUAAAUAAAGAUUUACACAUAUUUUUAUUCUGAUAUAAUUGGUAGCUAGUUUGGUAGUUUGGAUGGGGUAUCCGCAAGUUAAAAGUAACAUGAAGUUAGUAAAAUUCAAAUCAUAGUUAAUUGUGUAAAAUACAUUUUUAUACAAGGUUAGAAACGGCAAAGUGACCCUUUCAUAAAAAUUUAAUACUUUGAAAGUAAAAGAAUAAAAGCUACUCCGGGGAUAACAGGGCUAAUUUAAUCCGUGCAGUCUGUUAUGUAAGAUAAAUGUUUGCCACCUCGAUGUUGAAUUGACUAUACCUGGUGGAGGAGAGGCUACCAAGGGUUGGACUGUUCGUCCAUUAAAAAGUU
rnacentral:rRNA from 1 species